rnacentral:rRNA from 1 species
AAAUGAAUAGACGGGGACCCGCACAAGCGGUGGAGCAUGUGGUUUAAUUCGAAGCAACGCGAAGAACCUUACCUAAUCUUGACAUCCCAUUGACCGCAGAGUAAUGUCUGCUUUCCUUCGGGACAAUGGAGACAGGUGGUGCAUGGUUGUCGUCAGCUCGUGUCGUGAGAUGUUGGGUUAAGUCCCGCAACGAGCGCAACCCUUACCUUUAGUAGCCAGCAGUUCGGCUGGGCACUCUAGAGGGACUGCCAGGGAUAACCUGGAGGAAGGUGGGGAUGACGUCAAAUCAUCAUGCCCCUUAUGAUUAGGGCUACACACGUGCUACAAUGGCGUAAACAAAGAGAAGCAGAGUCGUGAGGCCGAGCAAAUCUCAAAAAUAACGUCUCAGUUCGGAUUGUAGUCUGCAACUCGACUACAUGAAGCUGGAAUCGCUAGUAAUCGCGAAUCAGAAUGUCGCGGUGAAUACGUUCCCGGGUCUUGCACACACCGCCCGU